GAUGAAGGUUUUCGGAUGCGUAAAACUCUGUUGUUAGGGAAAAACAAGUACCGUUCAAAUAGGGCGGUACCUUGACGGUACCUAACCAAAAAGCCACGGCUAACUACGUGCCACCACCCGCGGUAAUACUUAGGUGGCAAGCGUUGUCCGGAAUUAUUGGGCGUAAAGCGCGCGCAGGCGGUUUCUUAAUUCUGAUGUGAAAGCCCCCGGCUCAACCGGGGAGGGUCAUUGGAAACUGGGGAACUUGAGUGCAGAAAAGGAAAGUGGAAUUCCACGUGUAGCGGUGAAAUGCUUAGAGAUGUGAAGGAACACCAGUGCCAAAGGCAACUCUCUGGUCUGUAACUGACGCUAAGGCGCG
rnacentral:rRNA from 1 species